GCUGGGAUUGCUCAGCUGGUUAGAGCACUGUGCUGAUAAUGUGAAGGUUGCAGGUUCGAUCCCCAUGCAGGACAGCU